UACGGAGGAUGCGAGCAUUAUCCGGAUUUAUUGGGUUUAAAGGGAGCGCAGGCUGCGAGGCAAGUCAGCGGUCAAAUGUCGGGGCUCAACCCCGGCCUGCCGUUGAAACUGUCUUGCUAGAGUUCGAGUGAGGUAUGCGGAAUGCGUUGUGUAGCGGUGAAAUGCAUAGAUAUGACGCAGAACUCCGAUUGCGAAGGCAGCAUACCAACUCGCGACUGACGCUGAGGCUCGAAAGCGUGGGUAUCGAACAGG
rnacentral:rRNA from 1 species